rnacentral:tRNA from 4 species
GGCAGUAGGGCGCUCGGUGUGCCAACGACUCUCAUAAGGUCGAGGGGCUGGUUCGAAUCCAGCUAUUGCUAC